GCGCCCAUAGCUCAACUGGAUAGAGUGUCUGACUACGAAUCAGAAGGUUAGGGGUUCGAGUCCCUUUGGGCGCACCA
rnacentral:tRNA from 3 species